rnacentral:rRNA from 1 species
AUGGCGUCGCCCAGUUCAUCGAACACCCCCCUCCCCCCAAACGCCACCGCCUUCCAGCGCGAGCUCGACGCCCACCUUGUGCUUUGGAUCUACUCCACCCUCGCCGACAACCUCGUCGAUCACGUCGUCGGGGCCACCACCACCUACGAUCUCUGGCACCGCAUUCGCGACUACUUCCCGGCGAACCGUGCGGCGCGGUACAUGAUGUUGAACCGGCAAUACCGCAACCUCAAGCAGGGAGAUCUCUCCGUCGCCGAGUAUGCCCGCCGCAUGAAGCUUCUCAUCGCCGGGCUGGCCGACAUCGAGCACGCCGUCACUGAGGUGGAUCUCACCACUCAGUUUCUUCACGGCAUCGACAAAUGCCUCGACACCAUCCGCGUCGUGCUCGGGGACACGGUUCCUUUGCCGCCGUUCGAGACGGCGUUCUCUCGCCUGAAGCUCGCCGAGGAGAAUCUCCCCCAGCGUGUGGCUAAUGAGCCGACCACGAUUCUCGCCGUCACCGGGGGCGGUGGCCCCUCAAGCAGCUAUUCUGGAUCCGGCGGCUCCGGUCCUCGCCCCGUCGAUUGCGCUGAUCGCUCCAAUGAUCAGGGCCCUGCCUCUCCGGCCGGCUGCGGCUUUGGCAACCGCGCUGAUGGUGGCGACCGCGGUGGACGCGGCCGUGGGCGCGGUGAUCACGGUGGUCGUGGCAACCGCCCGCCCAUGUCCUAG